AACGGAUACCAGAAAUACCUCCCAGAUUCUUUCUGGAUCAUAACGAUAACUUAUGCACACAUCCAGGUGGGCCUUCUGCAAUAUAGCUCCCGAACUUUCUACCCAACGCCCUUAUUUUGCUGGAAACCUUCAGACACGGUUUGAUUUGCGUUUUAGAGAAUGCCCUCUGCUGGCUGCCAGGAGAAUGGAUUGGAGGAAGGGAGAGCCGUGAGGAAGUUGAGCUAUAUACUUCAGAACAUGCAUCAUUGUUAGAACCAUCACCCUGCAGCUAGCUUGGACAUCAUUAAAAGGGCUCAUCAGCUGCAAACGGAUAGAAGUAUCUGAUAUUUGUGAAGACAGAGUUUCAGGGCUUCUGCCUGGAGCUACACCCUCCAGAAGCCCCUGCUUGGCCUCCCUGCACCCAACCCCACCCCAGCCAGUCACAGCUGGGGCUGUGUGUGGUGUUUCUUGGCAACUGAAACAGACUCCUCCAGCAGCUCCACAGGCCCCUUGUCCUCAGUGAGCAGAAGACUACAGAAGCUGGCUACUGAAGAGGCUGUCCAAGUGAUAGAGCUCCUCCUUGGCUCUGCUUAGCACAUUUACCACAGAGCAGUAACUGAGUGCUGGAUGUUACUCAUUCAUGCUCACCCCCUGCAGGGACUGCAGAGGGGUUUCUCAGAUCCCAUUUCACUAAAGGGCCACCCUCUAAGGAUCUCCACAGGAGGCUGCCCAUAGAGAGGUGGCCUGCCUAGGGUCUCCAGUGCCUUAUGUCCUCCACGGCUGAGGGUAUCAGUAUCUCUUCACCUACCUGUAAUCCACAUACCAACUGGAAAAUUCUGCCUCCUGCUAUUUUCUAUUCUUUGUUUUUGGUAGGAAGAGUUUUGACUACUGCUUCAGUUCCUUUAGUAGUUAGAAGACUAUUCAGGAUUUCUUUUUCUUCUUGAGUCAAUUUUGGUAAGUUAUAGUUUUCUAGGAAUUGGUCCAUUUUGUCUGCAUUCUCAAACUUAUUGGCAUAAAGUUCCCGUAUUGUUUUUAUUCUCUGCUGUAUAUAAUCUGUAGUCAUGUCUCCUUUUUCAUUGCUGAUAUUGGUUAUUUGUGCCUUCUCACUUUUUUUCUUGAUCAAUCUCACCAGAGGUUUGUCUAUUUUAUUAGUCUUUUCAAAGAACCAACUUUUGGCUUUGUUGCUCCUCUCUAUUGUGUCUUUGUUUUCUAUUUCUUUAAUUUCUGCUCUUAUCUUUUUUGAUCUCCUUCCUUCCACAUUUUUUGGAUUUAUUCUGUUGUUCUUUUUCUAAUUUCUUAAAUUGGACACUGAGCUCAUUAAUUUUCAGCCUUUCUUGUUUUCUAAUUUGUGCAUUUAAGGAUAUAAAUUUCCCUCUAAAUUCUGCUUUCUGCAAGUUCACAUAUGUCAUAUUUCAUUAUUGUUCAGUUCUAAGUACUUCAGCAUUUCCAUCAUGGUUACUUCUUUGCCCUGCGAGUUAUAUAGAAGUGUGUUUUGAAGUUUCCGAAUGUUUGGGGAUUUUUUAAUUUAUUUCUUUGUUAUUGAACUCUAUCUGAAUUGCAUUAUGGUCACAGGAUGCGGUCUGUGUGAUAAUAACUCUUUGAAAUUUACUGAGACUUGUUUUAUGGCUUAGCACAUGAUCAGUAUUUUUUAAUGUUUCCUAUGUGUUUUAUAAGAAUGUAUGUUCUCUAAUUGUUGAAUACAGAGUUCUACAUAUGUCUUUUAUCAACUUUGCUAAUUGUAUUGUCCAAAUUUUCUAUAUCUAUACUGAUUUUUUAUCAUGAUAUUGAUCAAUAAUUGUAAGAGGUGUGUUAAUAUUCAACUAAGAUGGUGAAUGUGUCUAUUUCUCCUUGUAGUUUUCUUUUUUUACUUUAUAUAUUUUGAGGCUAUUUUAUUAGAAAUAUUCCAAUUAAGAAUUAUUAUAUAUUCCUGGUAAAUAUGUAAUGACCCUCUCGAUUCCUGAUAAUGCAUUUUUCCUUGAAGUCUAUUUUAUCUUACAUUAAUAUAACAACACAAGGCUUUUUUCUUGUUAGGAUUUGUGUAGUAUACAAUUUUCUAUCCUUUUACGUUUCAACAUUUUCAUGCCCUUGUGCUUUAAUUAUUUCUCUUGGGAAUGGCAUAUAGCUGGACCUUUAAAAAAAAAUCUAGUCUGAUGAUCUCUGUCUUUUAAUGGGCAAAUUUAGUCUGUGUACAUUUACUGUGAUAUAUUUGGACAUGUUGCUGUCAUCAUACUUUUUUAUUUCCAUUUCCUACCACCACCUUUUCUUUGCUUCAUUUUGCUCUUUUUUUGCCUGCUUUUUUAGUUUUGCAAUUUGUUUGUUUGCUUUCUUAUUCAGUUUUUUUCCUUCCUAUUGUUUUGAAUUUACAUAUUCUUUUUCUAUUUUUUCUGUGGUUAUCCUUGAAAUUUUACCAUGCAUGUUUAACUUAUAAGGUCUAAAGUUAAGCAGUAUUUUACCCUCCCUCUUGAAUAUUGCAGGAACCUUAGAAACCUUCAGCUCUAGUCAUUCCUCUCUUGACCACAUGCUAUUGUUUUGAGUAUGUCAGUUUGUUCCUUUUCUUCUAACUUUACAAAUUAUACAUCAUCAUUAGUAUUAUAUAGACAGUGUUUGUUUGGACUUAAAUGCAUACGUUCUUGCAUCUCAGAUCAUCUUUCAGAGAUCAUUUUCCUUCAUUAUAAGUACAAUAUUUAGAUGCUCUUUUAGUACAGGUCUUGUGGUGUUAAAUUCUCCCAGUCUUUGUUAUAUUGUAAAUAUCUUUAUUUUAUCCUCAUUCUUAAAAGAUAGAUUGUUAUAGGUAUUUAGAAGUCCACUAUCAAUGUAAUUGCUGUUUUUUGUGGGUGUUUUUGUUUUCUUAUACUCUGGCUACUUCUAAGAUCUUUUCUCUCUCUCUUUUUUUGGAGGAGGAUGUGCGGGGGUUCUGCAGUUUCAUUCUAAUAUGUUUAGAAUUCAUUUCUUUUUUAUUUAUUAUACUUUGGAAACGUGCUUCAUACUUCUGGAUUCAUGUUUUUCAUAAUUUCUGGAAAAUUCUCAACCAUUAUCUCUUCAAAUAUUGCCUUUCUUCCAUUCUUUCUAUAUUUUCUUUCUCAGAAUCCAGUUAGUCAUAUCUUGCACCUCUUCAUUCUAUCUUCCAUAUCUUAUAACAUCUCAUUGAUAUUUUCUAUCUCCUUGUCUUUCUGCACUUCAUUCUGGGCAAUGUCUUCAGAUAUAUCUCUCAGCUUACUGAUUCUGCCUUCAGCUGUGUCUGAUCUGCUGUUUAAUCUGUCCACUGAGUUUUUUAUUUCAACAACUGUAUUUUUCAUUUGUACAAGCUCCAUGUAUUACACGUUCUAAUAUGCCUAGUCAUCCCUAGUAGUCUCUUGUUACUUGCUCAUCCUUGCACUUGCAUCUGUUAUUUCUUUAAGCAUUUUAUACAAUUUUUGUUCAACCAAUAAUCACUGUUUGCAUAAGUAUUACAUUGUAAAUAUUGUUCAUGUCUAAACCAUGUAGUACACUCUGGUUACAUAUCCUUCAUUGUAUACCUUUUUGUUUUCCUAGUAAUUGCUUUUUUUUCUUUUGCCUAGUGUUCUAAUACCUAUUCCUAAUUCUUCUUUAAAAUUUUUUAAAAAUCCGUAUCAGAUCAUGUCCCUCCUCUGCUCAAAAUGCUUCCAUGGCUCCCAGCUCCCUCAGAAUAAAAGCCAAAGCCUUCACCAUGGCCCAAAAGUCUCUACACAGUCUGGUCCCCAUCACCUCUCUGACCUCAUCUCCUAUCACUCUCCCUGUUACUCACUCUUCUCCAGCCACACUGGCCUCCUUGCUGUUCCUCAAGCACAUCAGGUAUCCUCCUUCUUCAGAGCCUUUUUACUUGCUGUUCUCACUGCCUGAAACACUCUCCUUCCCAGAUAAUUUGAUGACUUGCCCACCCACUUCCAGAAUGCUCAAAUGUCACCUCCCUAAAGAAGCAUUCCAUGACCAACAUAUCUAAAACAGCCCCAUUCACAGCACUUUCUAUCCCCUUAUCCUACUUUAUGUCUUAUGUUUCUCUACAAAGCACUGAUCACCACCUGAUAUAUUGUAUAUAUAUUUAUUGUGAUUAGUCUUUGUCUUUCCCCAGUAGACUGUAAGCUCCACAAAGCAGGGACUUUUGUUUGUUCACUGCUGUAUCCCUAGUGCCAACAACAGUGCAUAGUAAUAUUUAGUAGACACUCAAUAAAUAUUUGUGGAAUAAA
rnacentral:lncRNA from 1 species